GACGCUGGCGGCAGGCCUAACACAUGCAAGUCGAGCCACCUUCGGGUGAGCGGCGGACGGGUGAGUAACGCGUGGGAACGUGCCCUUCUCUAAGGAAUAGCCACUGGAAACGGUGAGUAAUACCUUAUACGCCCCCCAAUCAAAUUCCAUUUGGUUGACGGAAAUUCUGUUGAAUGCCGGAUGGCAUCUGAUGGGGGGGAAAGAUUUAUCGGAGAAGGAUCGGCCCGCGUUAGAUUAGAUAGUUGGUGGGGUAAUGGCCUACCAAGUCUACGAUCUAUAGCUGGUUUUAGAGGAUGAUCAGCAACACUGGGACUGAGACACGGCCCAGACUCCUACGGGAGGCAGCAGUAGGGAAUCUUGGACAAUGGGCGCAAGCCUGAUCCAGCCAUGCCGCGUGAGUGAAGAAGGCCUUAGGGUCGUAAAGCUCUUUCGUCUGUGAUGAUAAUGACAGUAGCAGGUAAAGAAACCCGGCUAACUCCGUGCCACAGCCGCGGUAAUCCGA
rnacentral:rRNA from 1 species